GAGAGCGAGUAGAUGUGGGGAGAAAAAGUGAUUGCAAGCUAAGAACCCUAUGAAUCCUCCGCGCUCUGCUGAGGACUCCCAGCUUCCCUCACCAGCUGUGUGAUCAGACAAAUUACCUAACAUCUCAGACUGGGAUUUGCUUAUCUGCAAAAGGGAGGUGCUUCAUCCUGAGGUUCCUGUUUGGUCUCCACCAUCAUCCCUUUCUAAGGAUAAAGACACUCAAAUCUAGAGUUUGGGCAACCUGGAUUUAUACCUUAGAGCUGCUUGCUCUGGUCUGCGUUGGCUCCAAGAGGUCCUGGCCCAGCGCAGCUGCCUUCAUCCUGGCCGUAGCGGCACGAAGAUGCAGCCUCCGCCGCCUGGUCGGGACGUCGGGACCCGAGGCCUCCAACUCCGGGUUGUGAUGCUCGGCCAGGGAGCCCACGACCACAGGCGACAGCAGGGUGCAGCCUCCUGCGAGAUGUCUGCGGCCAUGCGGUUGUCCCCGCACACUGUCAGGGGCAGCCCCGCCCAGAAGCCCCGCACUCUGCCCAGCCGCUCACG